GCCCUCUUGGUGUAGUUGGUUAUCACGUCAGUCUCAUAUCUUUGGUAUGAAGGCCUUAAACAGGCAGAAAUCUGAAGGUCAGCAGUUCGAUCCUGCUAGAAGGCA